rnacentral:rRNA from 1 species
UACGGAGGGGACUAGCGUUGUUCGGAAUUACUGGGCGUAAAGCGCACGUAGGCGGAUUUGUAAGUCAGGGGUGAAAUCCCGGGGCUCAACCUCGGAACUGCCUUUGAUACUGCAAAUCUCGAGUCCGGAAGAGGUGAGUGGAAUUCCUAGUGUAGAGGUGAAAUUCGUAGAUAUUAGGAAGAACACCAGUGGCGAAGGCGGCUC